UCCGUGUUCACCACGGCAGUCUCCUUAGAGAGCCCAACUUAAUGCUGGCAACUAAGGACAAGGGUUGCGCUCGUUGCGGGACUUAACCCAACAUGUCACCACACGAGCUGACGACAGCCAUGCAGCACCUGUCUCUCUGCGGUAUUGCUACCGAGACCCUAUCUCUAGGGCUGUCAGAGGAUGUCAAAUCCAGGUAAGGUUCUUCGCGUUGCUUCGAAUUAAACCACAUGAUCCACCGCUUGUGCGGGCCCCCGUCAAUUCCUUUGAGUUUUAGUCUUGCGACCGUACUUCCCAGGCGGGGUACUUAGUGCGUUAGCGCCGGUUCGGCGGGGGUCAAGACCCACCAAACCUAGUACCCAUCGUUUACAGCGUGGACUAC
rnacentral:misc_RNA from 1 species